rnacentral:rRNA from 1 species
ACUACGGGCGGCAGCAGUGAGGAAUAUUGGUCAAUGGACGAGAGUCUGAACCAGCCAAGUAGCGUGAAGGAUGACUGCCCUAUGGGUUGUAAACUUCUUUUAUAUGGGAAUAAAACAGGGUAUGCAUACCCUCUUGUAUGUACCAUAUGAAUAAGGAUCGGCUAACUCCGUGCAAGCAGCCGCGGUAAUACGGAGGAUCCGAACGUUAUCCGGAUUUAUUGGGGUUAAAGGGAGCGUAGGUGGAUUGUUAAGUCAGUUGUGAAAGUUUGCGGGUCAACCGUAAAAUUGAAGUUGAAACUGGCAGUCUUGAGUACAGUAGAGGUGGGCGGAAUUCGUGGUGUAGCGGUGACAUGCUUAGAUAUCACGAAGAACUCCGAUUGCGAAGGCAGCUCACUGGACUGCAACUGACACUGACGCUCGAAAGUGUGGGUAUCAAACAGGAUUAGAUACCCUAGUAGUC